ACGAUGCUGAGGGCAAACCAGAGAGUCCCCAUCACACAGGGAAACAGGAACAGAGAAGACGGUGGCGAGAAAGAAGAUGGCAGAGAAUGCAAAGAUGCCUUGUGAACCAGAUUGGCAUUUCUGAAAAAGAAACCAGAGUAACUGAAGAAAAACAACAGUCAGAAAUACACAUGCAGUUCCCAGAAAUGAACACCUGCAUCUAAUAUUGUCCACCCUUUGCCAAGGAAAAUUAGAAUCUAAAAUACGAGUAUUUCAUCUGGAAAUGCUUGAAUUUCCUAAAUGGAUAAUCAAAAAACAGUUUUAACGUACUCAUAGAGAAAAAAGCAAAGUCAGUGUGGCACUUACCAGGAGACAAUGGAACUGUGUCUGUAUUUUGAAGCUUAACAAGUAUGACUCAGGAAUUCUACAGCAAGCCAACCUUGUUACUCAUGUGAGCAGGCAACAAAAAGAUAUUGUCACAUCUGCAAGAACUAAGAAAAUGUACCAUCUACAUGUCCUUACCCAACUCUGUCUAACAAGGGGGACUCCAGAACAACGUUAUGACAUAAAAGGAGUCGGAACCCGGGUGAGGCGACAAGAGCUGAGCUCAGGUUCUCGGCCUCAACACUCUUGCGGGGAGGCGCCAGCAUGGGCACCCUCCACAGUUCGGGCCCCUCACUCACAAACCUGGCACAUCAAAACAGGCUGGCAAAAAGGUCUGCAAGUCUGCUGGAACCUGGCACACAGCGGCCCUCCUGCCCAGCCACCCGGUUCCUGAGCUUCCUCUCCAUGCAAGAGUCCACUUGUAAAACAAACAACAGGCUUGGAAUUGUUCCUCCCCUUCACCACCAGAGGAAACUUCCAUUUUGAGUGACAUUUCUCGUGACUGAAUGAAUGUGGACCCGUUUCUCAACACGUCAGAGGAGAGGGUAUUCACAACCUAGCCUUGCUCAGGAGGUGGAACAGGGCUUUUUACUUUGGAGGAAUGAAGAGUUGAGCCUGGAAUGCACACCACUGUCCAGCAAACCAGAAGGCCUCUGCACUCUGCAGGUUCCACUCUCUGGUCUGCAAAGAUCUCCCAGCAGGUGGAGGCCAUUGUCCUUUGCCUGACCCGGUCCCUGCUCAAGCAGUUAGAGGGCGAGGCCCAGACCUCCUGCAGACUUCAGACAAUCAGUCCCUGGGAUCAGACCCUGGGCACAGCUGGGCCUACUCCAGAAGGGUGUGGAAGGAGGAGAGGCGCACAUGGGAUUCGUCAAAGGCAGCAGCACCCUUAGCACUUUGCCUCCAUCCUUGAUCCAACCAUCCGGCCUGGCUUUCUUCUCAAUUUCUUUGGCCCUCAGUUUUCUGUUGUCUCUGCACGAUGGUGACUUUAGUCACCAACAUUGCUGACUUCGGUAUUACUGAACCUUUAGCCUUUGGGCCAGCAUGCUCUGCUUUUGGAAUCUGCCAUCUCUGCCCUGGACCCUGGAGUUGACAGGUGUUUGAUGAGGUGCACUCUGUCGCAUAAUCUGCUUUUUUGUCUUGAUCAUUAUUCUGAACAUUUCCUCUCGGUUGUUUACUGGACUUCUAAAUAUUGUUCUGAUGGUUGUGUUGUAAUCUAUCGAGAUCUCCCAUAAUAUAUUUAACUAAAUACCUUGUAGUUGGACAAUUAAGCUAUUUCCAAAUGUUCACUAUACCAAAUAAUGCCUUGGUAAGUAUUAGUGUAGUGAAAUCUUCACAGUUACUUUUUAAACAUUUUAAAAUUAUACAUACUGUAAACGAACAUAUGUUCUUGAUAAAACCUUACUGAAAACAGGUAAGACUAAAGUCCUCAUUAACCAGCUUCAAUCGAGUUGUUACAGCCAUCAUAGAAACACCCACUAUUACUGGUUAAUGUGUACCCUUUUUUGAAAUGUACGUACGUGUAUUUUCAGAUACCUAAGUGAGAUAUAGAUAGAUAGAUAUGCUGAAUCGUUUUCAUUUGUGACACCGAGUGGUGCACGGAUGUUAACAUGCUGUACAUUCACUUGGCAGUGUGUCUUGGAGACAUUUCCACGUCAACACACGAAGAUCUGCAACUGCUGUGUGGGAUUCCAUAAUAAGGAUAAGCCGACGUUUAUUGAGCUAUUUUCUUAUCCCUGGAUAUUUGGGUCGUGUUUAGCUUUUGCUGAGACAGACAAUGCUGCAUUCAAUCUUCACCUUGUGCACACGUGCAAAUGUCUCUCCGGGGAGAUUCAGAAUGUUCGGUUGUAGAGAAGAAACAUUUUGCCCACCAAAGUAGCUGCAAAAUAACGCCGUCACCCGGGAGCAGCUGAGGGCACGUAUGCCGCCACAGCCUCGCCCACGCUUUAUAUGAUCAAACUUUUGAUUUUUGCCACUUUGAUUAAAAAUGGAACCUUGUGUUUUAUUUGCAUGUUUUUGAUUUCUAAUGAGGUUAAGCAUCUUUUCAAGUAUAUUGGUCAUACCUCCUUUUUUCCU